rnacentral:lncRNA from 1 species
UCUGUAGUUCUUCAGGUUGAGUGUCCACGACAGGCUCUGCGGAGGAAAGCAAGUCAUCACUGCCACCUCCAAGCACCAGCACCUUUCCAGGAGCACCAGCGCAGCUCAGAACGGUGCCUGCAAAUUCCAAAGCCAGCUCCACUGAUAAGAUCCAAGAAACCACCAAUUUGCAGGCUGCGACGACGAGGAAACAAAAUAAGAAGAAAACGAGGAAACCCAUCGGCACAAAAAUUGGAAGUAUCGCUGCAGCGACCGGAAACACUGACGCAUAUCGCCGCAACAAAAUGCAGGAUCCGAGUUUAGGAACCGCGCUCGAUGGCUUCCACUGGUCGAAAUACAGACAUAGGAAUAAGAAAAAAAUGCGUGCACGUAUGAUAAUCAGAACCACUCAGGAUCCAGGCCAGCACAAACGCCACACAAGCGUAGAGGGAGAAAAGCGAAAAAGAGCCGGCGACCAGCCGACUAAGAAUAGAGGGGGAGGGGGAAGCGAGCGAGCGAGGGAGCGAGCCGUACGAGAGAAGGCGUCCUUCCUCCUGAAGAGCAACGACGGCAAGUCCACCUCACUCCUCCGCUCCCCGCCAGAUCGCGCCGAGCCGCCAGGCCGCACGACCCCGAGCCUCGCGCCGGACACAGCGAACGACGCCAUCCCGCG